CCUACGGGAGGCAGCAGUGGGGAAUAUUGCACAAUGGGCGAAACCCUGAUGCAGCAACGCCGCGUGAGUGAAGAAGUUUUUCGGGAUGUAAAGCUCUAUCAGCAGGGAAGAAGGAAGACGGUACUUGACUGCCUAGCACCGGCUAUCUACGCGCCAGCAGCCCCGGCAAUCUGCAGGGGGCCAGCGUUGUUCGGAUGUACUGGGCGUAAAGGGAGCGUAGUCGGUUGUGUAAGUCCGAAGUGAAAGCCUGUGGCUAAACCGCGGAACUGGCUUGGAAACUGUAUAGCUUGAGUACUGGAGAGGAAGGCGGAAUUCCUGGUGUAGCGGUGAAAUGCGUAGAUAUUAGGAGGAACACCAGUGGCGAAGGCGGCCUGCUGGACAGAAACUGACGUUGAGGCUCGAAAGCGUGGGGAGCAAACAGGAUUAGAUACCCUUGUAGUC
rnacentral:rRNA from 1 species